GAUGAACGCUAGCGGCGGGCUUAAUACAUGCAAGUCGAGGGGUGGUAGCAAUACUACACCGGCGCACGGGUGCGUAACGCGUAUGCAAUCUACCUUUAUCUGGGGGAUAGCCCGGGGAAACCCGGAUUAAUACCGCAUAACAAAUUGAUUGGCAUCAAUUGAUUUUAAAAGAUUUAUCGGAUAGAGAUGAGCAUGCGUAAGAUUAGAUAGUUGGCGGGGUAACGGCUCACCAAGUCUACGAUCUUUAGGGGCUCUGAGAGGAGAAUCCCCCACACUGGCACAGAGAUACGGGCCAGACUCCUACGGGAGGCAGCAGUAGGGAAUAUUGGGCAAUGGGCGCAAGCUUGACCCAGCCACGCCGCGUGCAGGAAGAAGGCCCCCUGGGUUGUAAACUGCUUUUGACCGGGAAGAAAAGAACCUUUGCGAAGGGAGUUGACGGUACCGGCAGAAUAAGCCACGGCUAACUACGUGCCAGCCGCCGCCGUAAGAC
rnacentral:rRNA from 1 species